AGAUUGAACGCUGGCGGCAUGCCUUACACAUGCAAGUUGAACGGCAGCACGGGAGCAAUCCUGGUGGCGAGUGGCGAACGGGUGAGUAAUACAUCGGAACGUGCCCAGUAGUGGGGGAUAACCCGGCGAAAGCCGGGCUAAUACCGCAUACGACCUACGAGUGAAAGCGGGGGAUCGCAAGACCUUGCGCUAUCGGAGCGGCCGAUGUCAGAUUAGCUUGUUGGUGGGGUAAAAGCCUACCAAGGCGACGAUCUGUAGCUGGUCUGAGAGGACGACCAGCCACACUGGGACUGAGACACGGCCCAGACUCCUACGGGAGGCAGCAGUGGGGAAUUUUGGACAAUGGGCGCAAGCCUGAUCCAGCCAUGCCGCGUGCGGGAAGAAGGCCUUCGGUUGUAACCGCUUUGUCAGGAAGAAACGCUCCGGCCAAUACCCUGGAGUAAUGACGGUACCUGAAGAAUAAGCACCGACUAACUACGUGCCAGCAGCCGCGGUAAUCUA
rnacentral:rRNA from 1 species